rnacentral:rRNA from 1 species
AUUGAACGCUGGCGGCAUGCCUUACACAUGCAAGUCGAACGGCAGCACGGGGGCAACCCUGGUGGCGAGUGGCGAACGGGUGAGUAAAGCAUCGGAACGUGCCCUGGAGUGGGGGAUAACGUAGCGAAAGUUACGCUAAUACCGCAUAUUCUGUGAGCAGUAAAGCAGGGGAUCGCAAGACCUUGCGCUUUAGGAGCGGCCGAUGUCGGAUUAGCUAGUUGGUGAGGUAAAGGCUCACCAAGGCGACGAUCCGUAGCGGGUCUGAGAGGAUGAUCCGCCACACUGGGACUGAGACACGGCCCAGACUCCUACGGGAGGCAGCAGUGGGGAAUUUUGGACAAUGGGCGCAAGCCUGAUCCAGCCAUGCCGCGUGAGUGAAGAAGGCCUUCGGGUUGUAAAGCUCUUUCGGUGGGGAAGAAAUUGCUUAGGAUAAUACCCUGAGUAGAUGACGGUACCCGCAUAAGAAGCACCGGCUAACUACGUGC